GGAGACGGCAUCAUAAAAUUGUCAACUUUUUGUGUUUAUAAUCGCGAAAAUUGGCGAUUUUAUUUUGCUUUUGCGGUGCCUGUCUCUUGUUGUCGGUUGCGUUGAAGGAUUUACGUGCGUGGCGUCAGGAUGAUGGAAUCGCAUAUCUGUAUCUGCUUGUUUACCUCGCAAGUUUUACGUUUUUCUGUGAGUCCUUUAUUAAUUUUGCAUCAUAUUCUUAUUGAUUUUCCUUUCUUUACAGGUUAUCGGAAAAUAAUUGAACGUACCAUACUGCGGAAAAUUAUGCAUUUUAGAGACGGAUUUUGAGACUUUUUAAAAAAUGGUGUCAGCUCCGCGCUAGUGAUCCUUAAACGUGCAGUGGCAUCAAGAGGUGGAGACGGCGUCGUAAAGUUGUCAAUUUUUUGGGUUUAUAAUCGCGAUAGCUGCCGGUUUUGUUUUUCUAUUGUGGAGACCGCCUCUUCUUGUAGGUUGCAUUGGAUCACCAUUAGGCUGUGGUCAAGGAGGUUUUAGCGUCAAUUAAUGUAGGCGCUCGUCGUUCUGGGAUCGGCCCGUCUAUUGCAGCGCAGCAUGCAAGUAGGUUGUAUCGGUGAUAAGAGAUACUACCAGGGACUGUGUGGCAAGAAGAUUCAGGUAAGUGACGUUGUGCAUAAAUUGCUGCGGCGAGUCGCCUCUUAUUCAUCAUGUUUCUGCCACACUAAUCCUUUUCAUAUCGAUCUACCGAUUCGUCGAUUAUGUCCUGGUUGAUUUUCCCCGCAUCGUUUCGUCAGGUUCAGCUAGAGUGCGUUGUCUUAGGCUUGUUCAUCCGGAUGCGUUGAGGUGAGAGUAUUGUUUAUGUUUUAUUGCGAUUAUCUAAUUGAAUUUAUAUUCCAGGAAAGUUAGGCUGGGUCGAGGAAGGUGAUGACCUUGCAUGAGUUUGGGAGCAGACUGACGUGCGCUUUUCAUCGGAUAUAGAUGUCGUUAGAAUAGAUAUAAAGAGAUGUGGGUUUAAAUGGAUGUUUCCAUGUCAAGAUUGUAAUCUCUUCCUUGUAUGAUUAAGGCCAAUAAACUGUCAAUUUUCUUCUCUAAA